rnacentral:rRNA from 1 species
AUUGAACGCUGGCGGCAUGCUUUACACAUGCAAGUCGAACGGUAACAGGGGCUUCGGCCCGCUGACGAGUGGCGGACGGGUGAGUAAUGCAUCGGAACGUGCCCAUGUUGUGGGGGAUAGCUCGGCGAAAGCCGGAUUAAUACCGCAUACGCCCUGAGGGGGAAAGUGGGGGAUCUUAGGACCUCACGCAAUUGGAGCGGCCGAUGUCGGAUUAGCUAGUUGGUGGGGUAAAGGCCUACCAAGGCGACGAUCCGUAGCUGGUCUGAGAGGAUGAUCAGCCACACUGGGACUGAGACACGGCCCAGACUCCUACGGGAGGCAGCAGUGGGGAAUUUUGGACAAUGGGGGAAACCCUGAUCCAGCCAUGCCGCGUGAGUGAAGAAGGCCUUCGGGUUGUAAAGCUCUUUCAGGUGGAAAG